rnacentral:misc_RNA from 1 species
UCCGGUUUGUCACCGGCAGUCUCAUUAGAGUCCCCAGCUUUACCUGUUGGCAACUAAUGAUAGGGGUUGCGCUCGUUACGGGACUUAACCCAACACCUCACGGCACGAGCUGACGACAGCCAUGCAGCACCUAGUUUCGUGUCAUUGCUGACGCAAACGUUUCUGCUUGCUUCACUAACUUUCAAGCCCAGGUAAGGUUCCUCGCGUAUCAUCGAAUUAAACCACAUGCUCCUCCGCUUGUGCGGGCCCCCGUCAAUUCCUUUGAGUUUCAACCUUGCGGUCGUACUUCCCAGGUGGAUCACUUAAUGCUUUCGCUCAGACGCGUACAGUGUAUCGCACACAUCGAGUGAUCAUCGUUUAGGGCGUGGACUAC